AAUUCUUAGAUUUGUCUUGCAAUAAAGUUGUUAAGGUGAGUUAUUUUUAUGACACUAGAUAAGAAAACUCAAUUUUUUUUAAUGUGGGCACAGUAAGUAUGAAAUAGUGAAAUUUUAAUUUCAGUAAAAAUUAAUUAUUAAUAGUCGAUUUAAAUAGUUUUGAUUUUUGUGGAGCACUUCAGUUGCUUUUCUAAAUUUAGUCAGUAGUCCCCAUACAAGAUAGCCCAGGGGGAGAGUUUCAUAGACACAGGUAAAAAUAAAGGGGUCAAAGUAAGGGCAAUCAAGGCAUAGCAUGCUUAAGUCAUCUGCUUUGUGAGAAUGGGGCAGGUAAAACAGCUGGGGCUAUUUUGUUAAUGUGCUAAAAUUACAUACACGCAGAGUGCUGUAGAACCAUAUCACCACUGUCCAUUCCCAAAACCUUUGUCCCCUCAGUCAUCUUAGACCUGACCUGUUAACCGGGAGCCUACUCCUCUGCCCGUGCACUCAGGACUUCCUGAUUUCGGGAGUUGCUGUAGGCUCCUAUGACGCACUGUGGAUUGAACAGUGACUUGUAGGCCAGUUACUUUUCUUUUGCAUGUUUAACAGACACUUUGCAUUCAGGCCUGGAAGACCUAUGCAAGCAUUAUCUCUCUCUCUUGUCUCAUGUUCAGAGUGACUGCUCUUUGUUAGUGUCAUUGUUACAUGAAUUAGAUACUUCUUAAUAUACCUUUUUGUUUUGAAACUGGAUCUUGCUGUGUACUUAUUCAGAUUUUUUUAUCUUAAUUUUCACUAGGCUUUACAAGAUAGUAUUUCAAGUGAUGGAUUUGGAAAUCUCAAAAUGUUCCUUAUGUAAGAUAUAAUAAAGUUUGUGUCUAGAAGUUAUUCCAUGAUCUAAAUUUUUAAUAGACAAAGCUACUGGGCUAAUUUUUUUUUACUGUUGGUGUUUUUCAAAGAUGGUUUAAAAAGUUCAUAUGUUUGUUUCAAUACUGCCAUCUGGUGACUAUUGAGGAUAUUUCAACAUGGGCUUAAACUUGGCUUACAACCCCAUAAUGUCAUACAAUUGAAUGUAGGUUUUACAGGGGGAAAAAAAAUCAGUGAGCUAGGUGUUUGUGGCAGUGCUAACCUGUGUGGCAUUGUGCAGUUUCACUGCAUCCUUGGUUCUGAAGCUACACUAGCAGCAUGUACUGCCUGAGAGCUCCCACUUACAACCCCAGUGAACAUUACUCAAAGGGCCUCAGUUCAGAUCUGGACGGGGCCAUUGUGUGUUAUCAACUGUAGUGUUUUUAUCCUACAGUUAAAUGUUUCUACUGCUGUAGAAACAUAAUGGUUUAAUUAUGGAAAAUAAUGACCACUAGGAUGUUACAACUGCCAUUCUUUCACAUGUGAAUAUCAAACCAGUGCAUCUUUGGAAUGUAUUGUAUUGGAGUAGUUGCUUUUUAAACUUACUAUUUUUAAAUGUUUAAAAGUUAAUAAUAUUUAAAUUUGAGUUGCUGACAAAUUUCAUAAAAAGUUGUAUGGAUUUUGGCUUGGGUUUAGGACAGAGUUUCCAAUAAUUUCUAAAAUGGCCUUAAUUAUACGUCUGACAUUUUAUACUAUAUAUUAGGGUGAAACAGCAUUUCCACAAUUAUAAAAUCAAAAUAUUGGUAAACUUUGAAUAAUGUUGACAUUGCUAUGUCCUGCAUUUUUAGAUAUCCAGCCAAGAUUUAAUUCCUUAUGUAAAAAUAAACAAACCUGUAUAUCUUACUGUGCAAAUUUACUUUCAUUUUUAAUGAAUGGUAAAAAUAACUGUGCCAAAGACCUGUCUUAAAUUUCAUUAUUACCUACUAUCACUAUAUAUUGAGUUUGUAUGUCUACUUUUUGUAUCUAUAUAACUGGGAAUGUUUAAAAAAUUUGAGGGACAAAGGUGAUCACAGGUAAAAUGAAGCCCUGACAUAAGGCAACAGCCAAGAAGUACAGCAGAAGUGUGCCCAACCCUGGGUCCCAGGGCUUUAGAGAGACUGAGGGAGGGGAGCUGUGCUGGUGGAAGUCUCACAUAGUGAUUGGGACAGUGAAGUCACCGUGAAAUCACCCAAGCAUCUAUAUACUAUCAUUUUAUUUUUCUUUACAUACAGGUUACUAUUUUUACUGUUUUUCUUCUGCCAGAUAAUUUAAUUAUUCAGCAGUGUUAUGUGUGCCCUGCUUAUUAUAUGCUGUUCACUGCUGUCAGUACAGUAAUGUCUUAAGGAGAUAAAACUCAGAACCUUUGUACGGUUUACAGUUGGACAGAUGUCAGUUAGACACCCCUACCCAUCAGUUAGCGAAUGAUGAAGGGAAUGAGGAAAGCAGGGAAAAGGACCUUGUGAAGGAUUAUGUGGGUGGAUUACUUCCAAGUGUUUAGUAGGGUGUAAGGAGGCUAGUAAGAGAGCACCCUACUAACAAGGUUAUGGAAAUCUGAAAGGUUUACACAAGAGCAGUCUGUAUAGAAAAAGCAAAGGCAGGGGCCCUGCUUUGGAAUAUCUGACUGUGAAGAAGCAGAAGCAUGGACGAUGGAGGGGAUGGGUUAGGACGUGUGAUGAGGUCAGAUGUGGUGGGGUUUAGGGUUAGCCGCUGCAGACCACACAGGGUCAUUUAAUCUGAAGUGGAGGCUUGUACUAGAUGGUUUGAAGCAGCUAAAUCACGAGCUUCACCUUAACUCAGGUUCCACUCUGGUCGCCCUGUUUAAUGGAGUGUAACCUUAACUGUAGGAGUCAGGUGACUUUUAUUUAGACCACAGGAAGAGUAAGGCACAGGAUUAAGCUUGGACAGGUCUGUGAACAUUGAUAGUAUAGCAUAUUGUCUGGUUCUUCAUAGACCUUUAAAGGUUGUCUUUAUGGAUUAUCAGCAGUGUUCAGUAGUCGAAGUCUUGCUUAUAGAGUCUUACUUGGAAAAUUUCUUCUGUUUGUCCUCUUAAAAAUACUGUCUUUGGUCUGAAACAGUGCAUCAGUGUGUUACACAUCAGUGUGUUACUUUCUUUCGUUUGUGUUCUUUUGUACAUCCACAUGCACACCCCCCAUCUCUCAUGUCAGAUGUUAUUUUAUUUGGUUUUAAAUUAAAAACAUUUUACGUUAAUAUAUAAUUAGUUUCAAAACGUGUUUUUCGUUUUGUAAGUGUCUGCGUGUUUUCUUCUGUGUAGGUCUGCGUACCAUCUUCAUUCCUGUUCUCCACAGGUGCCAGUAGAGAGCAUCAGAUCCUGGGACUAGAGUUACAGACAGCUUUGAGCUCCUGUAUGGGGCUGGGAAUUGAACCCAUGUCCAGAGCAGCCAGUGCUUUUAACCACUGAGCCAAAUUUAGCACCACAUUACCUCCCUCCCUCCCUCCCUCCCUCCCUCCCUCCCUCCCUCCCUCCCUCCUCCAUUCCCCUCCUUCCUCUUACUGCUCUCUUUCCUCUCUCUUGUCUCCCCUCCUGCUCUCAUGUUGCACGUGUUCGUCCCUCUCUCCCUCUCAUGAACCCAGUGUAGGUCUAGUCACAUGUCAUUGGUUUUCAUGUAGCAAGUAACAAGACAGCCAGUUUGUCUGGCUACGUUUCACAUACUGCUUGAAUGAAUAGAUUUGGAUGACCUCAGUAAACAGGGCUUGGGAUGGACAGAGCCCAGUUGUAGGUUGUUAAAAGGAAUAUUAAUAGCAGUACCACUACAAGGAGGACACGGUACACAACACUUUUCAAGGUGUUAGGUAUGAUUUCUAUUUUCAUUAGAAAUUUUAUAUUCUGGACUCUAGAUAAAGCAGACUGUUUUAAAAUACUUUUACUUAAAUUUUAAUUUUUUUUUUUUUUUGAGACAGGGUUUUUCCGUGUAACCCUUGCUGUUCUGGAACUCACUCUGUAGACCAGGCUGGCCUUGAACUCAGAAAUCCCCCUGCCUCUGCUCACAAGUGCUGGGAUUAAAGGCAUGUGCCACCACUGCCCGGCAAUUUAAAGAAAUUUUAUUCAUUGGAAACUUACUUAUAUGGGUGCUCAGAGUUUGAUAGGCAAUGUUUUUGUUUUGCUCUUCUUAGCCCCAGACAGUCUUACUUCUGCACUUUUUCUUAUGUUGUAGAACCUUUUAUGUAGCCAAUUUUUAGCAGGUGAUCAUAUUUCUCAUUUUCCAGAAAUAAAUAAAACUAUAAGAAAUGGCAUCCUCAACUUUUCCCUAUUUUUGCUCCUCCUCCAAGGCAAACACACACACACACACACACACACACACACACAUACACACACACAUACACACACACACUAUUCUAGUUAAAACCAGUCUUUACCCAUGCUUUAAAAGUCACCCUUUUUUCUAAAGCCAUUCUGUAUUGGUGGUGUUCAUUCCUGUUAACUACUAACUGCAUUUUACCAUUGUGUAUUAGGAGCUACGAUGGCUUGAAAUUGUUUUUCAAGUUAAUAAGCACAAGUGGGGGCAGCUCUCAGCCCUGUUUCAUAGUGUGUGCCUACUUGCUUCUGUUCUUGUUUGUUUCCUGAGUGUUUGACUGUUUUGUCCACUCUUCCACAUUUAAAUAGGUUUACCUUCCAUACCUUAAAUACUUGGAAUAUAUUGAGGCCAUAUGGUAUUUCCUUUUAGCAACUUAUUGUCUACUUUCUGUCCCAUUCACAACAGUGUUCAUUUCUGACUGUAGUUCUUCCAGUGUCACCGACAGGCACUGUGUUUUCCGUAGUGAGGUCUUAGGUGCAGUUUUAUCUUUCCAGUUACUGUUACGUACUAUGUCAGGAUGGCUGUCCUUGGAAGAAAGGAAGAGAGAGUGUGUUAGAAACGAUUGCUGGGGCAUAAUGUUCUUGUGAUUUUUAUGGUGGUGCUGUGGGCAUUGAUUCCAUAAUAACUUAUGGAGUGCACCUACACUGUGUUUUUCCUCCCAGUAAAAGUACACCGUAUUUUUCUAGUAUGCUUUGAUUGGAAAGUUAGCGUUUAAAUUUAAAUUGAUGAAUUAAUAUUGGUUAGAAAUGUGGUAACCCUGUAUUUCCUGAAAUACUAGUGGAUUUGGAUAUUAGUAUUCAGAAUUUAGGAGAGAGAAUAGGCUAGAGAAAGGUUUUAAUGAUGUGAAUAAGCAGAUGACAACAGAAAGUACCCAGUGACAUGGAGUAGAUAGAAAAGGAUACAGACUGAGGGGCGACAAGAACAAUGUCAGAGACGAGGAACACCAACAUGUACACACGUGUUCGAAGGAAGAAAAGGACACCAAAAAGAUCAG
rnacentral:lncRNA from 1 species